CAGUGGGAUGGAUAUAUUCUGAUUUAGCAGGACUGGGCAGAGGAAUAUGAUUAACCUCACUCUAACCAUGUUGGAUUCAGAGAGGAGAAGGUGGAGUGGGUGCUGGGGUGCAAACUCAUGGUAGUCCUUGACCUCACCUACUCUCAUUCCCUUCUCUCAUGCCUGAGGAGACCCCAGACCCUAUGCUCCAUACCUACUUCUUGGUAGUUGAACACUAAGAGG
rnacentral:lncRNA from 1 species